rnacentral:rRNA from 1 species
GUUAAGCGACUAAGCGUACACGGUGGAUGCCCUGGCAGUCAGAGGCGAUGAAGGACGUGCUAAUCUGCGAUAAGCGUCGGUAAGGUGAUAUGAACCGUUAUAACCGGCGAUUUCCGAAUGGGGAAACCCAGUGUGAUUCGUCACACUAUCAUUAACUGAAUCCAUAGGUUAAUGAGGCGAACCGGGGGAACUGAAACAUCUAAGUACCCCGAGGAAAAGAAAUCAACCGAGAUUCCCCCAGUAGCGGCGAGCGAACGGGGAGCAGCCCAGAGCCUGAAUCAGUGUGUGUGUUAGUGGAAGCGUCUGGAAAGGCGCGCGAUACAGGGUGACAGCCCCGUACACAAAAAUGCACAUGCUGUGAGCUCGAUGAGUAGGGCGGGACACGUGGUAUCCUGUCUGAAUAUGGGGGGACCAUCCUCCAAGGCUAAAUACUCCUGACUGACCGAUAGUGAACCAGUACCGUGAGGGAAAGGCGAAAAGAACCCCGGCGAGGGGAGUGAAAAAGAACCUGAAACCGUGUACGUACAAGCAGUGGGAGCACGCUUCGGCGUGUGACUGCGUACCUUUUGUAUAAUGGGUCAGCGACUUAUAUUCUGUAGCAAGGUUAACCGAAUAGGGGAGCCGAAGGGAAACCGAGUCUUAACUGGGCGUUAAGUUGCAGGGUAUAGACCCGAAACCCGGUGAUCUAGCCAUGGGCAGGUUGAAGGUUGGGUAACACUAACUGGAGGACCGAACCGAC